rnacentral:lncRNA from 12 species
GAGUAAAGAAAAAGUAUCUAUUGUCACCAGGUGUACACUGAAUGGUUGCUUUAUUCGAACAACUUCCAUCUUACUUCCUGAGGAGCAGCAUUAUAGUACCCAAGUGUCCUGAAGGAUUUGAUACAACAGCAAGCGUUUUGAGGUAGAGCCAGUGAUUGAGCCAGGUGUGAUCUUUGUCCAACUGUCUCUCACCUUGUUGAUAGGAGGGAUAUCUGAAACACUUCAUCUAUGACAGGUUCUGGGAAAUUAAAAUAAAUGAUCUGGAAGCCUCAGCUUUCUGAACAACCUUCUCUGGAAGUUGGAUAUGGUAAAGGCCUCUCUCCUGAGCAACCACAAAAAGGACCCCCCUGGGCCUUUCACAAUUUCUCAGGAUGUGUGAGCUGUUGCAAGCCCUCUUUGCAGCUGCGCAAUAAUCAAACAGAAUUGGAGUGUGCUGGACGCAAUCCCAACUUAAGAGACAGGAUAUCAAGCCUGCCUAGACAUUGCCUGCCCUCUCUUCACGGAAGCAGUGGAAUUCAGGAAUGGAGAGCAUCAGCUGUUGGAGUGAGUUUGAAUCCUGUUUUCUCUAUCUAGUUUGGAACACAGAUUGUUGUGAGGAUUAAAAGUUAACAUGUGUAUACUGCUUUAGAAGGUCUCUGGCUCAGAGCAAGCACUCAAUAAGUAAUAGCAUUUGGUUUUGUUGUUGUUAGAAGUGUUAGUCUGUGGUCCACCAUGGGGCGCUUGGCUGGUUCAGUCAGUAGAGCAUGUGAUUCUUGAUCUCAGGGUUAUGAGUUCAAGCCCCAUGUUGGGCAUGGGGCCUAUAACUUAAAAAACAAAAACAAAUAUUCUAUGGUCUAGCAGGCAGAGAACACUAGGAAUACACCUAGAGCCAAACCAGAGUGAGGUUUGCUUACUUGAUGCAGCCUGGGAUAAAGAGCAUUUAAAGAAGCAGAGGCUGGUGUUGGAUGCGUGCUGGUAGUCUGAUGACUGGAUAACCCACUGGUGUUUCAUCAAGGAAGUAGGGGGAUUGAAAUGGGACGAUAGCUGUCACUGAUAGAGCAGUGGAAAGUACUCAUUUAAUCAGAGGAUGAAGGAUGUUUAGUAUCCUUGUCUCUCUCAUUUCACACAUGGCCUUGGACAGACUGUGUCUCUGCCUUGUUCCCCUGCAUCUACAGCAUGACUUUGUUUGAUAUUUGUUUACUUUUGUAAGCAUUGUUUAUGAGCUGUUGUGAAGGUUGUGGCUUAGGUAACUGCCAAGACCUUUGUUACCACUUUCUCAUUGAUUAGAAGCCUUCUAAUAAACAAACGAAUGGAUAUUUAACA